UACGGGGGGAGCAAGCGUUGUUCGGAUUUACUGGGCGUAAAGGGCGCGUAGGCGGCCACCGCAGGUCGACUGUGAAAUCUCCGGGCUUAACCCGGAAAGGUCAGCCGAUACUGCGGGGCUAGAGUGCAGAAGGGGCAACUGAAUUCUCGGUGUAGCGGUGAAAUGCGUAGAUAUCGAGAGGAACACCUGCGGCGAAGGCGGGUUGCUGGGCUGACACUGACGCUGAUGCGCGAAAGCUAGGGGAGCGAACGGG
rnacentral:rRNA from 1 species